rnacentral:misc_RNA from 1 species
GAAAUACGAUAAGUAAUGUGAAUUGCAGAAUUCAGUGAAUCAUCGAAUCUUUGAACGCACAUUGCGCCCGCCAGAAUUCUGGCGGGCAUGCCUGUUCGAGCGUCAUUUCAACCCUCGAGCUCCCCUUUCGGGGGGAGCCCGGCGUUGGGGACCCGGCGCUAACAACGCCGGCCCCGAAAUGGAGUGGCGGCCCGUCCGCGGCGACCUCUGCGUAGUAACAACCACUCGCACCGGGACCCGGGCGCGGCCACGCCGUAAAACACCCCACCUUCCGAAUGUUGACCUCGAAUCAGGUAGGAAUACCCGCUGAACUUAAGC